rnacentral:rRNA from 1 species
AUUGAACGCUGGCGGCAGGCCUAACACAUGCAAGUCGAGCGGAUGAAGGGAGCUUGCUCCUGGAUUCAGCGGCGGACGGGUGAGUAAUGCCUAGGAAUCUGCCUGGUAGUGGGGGAUAACGUCCGGAAACGGGCGCUAAUACCGCAUACGUCCUGAGGGAGAAAGUGGGGGAUCUUCGGACCUCACGCUAUCAGAUGAGCCUAGGUCGGAUUAGCUAGUUGGUGGGGUAAAGGCCUACCAAGGCGACGAUCCGUAACUGGCCUGAGAGGAUGAUCAGUCACACUGGAACUGAGACACGGUCCAGACUCCUACGGGAGGCAGCAGUGGGGAAUAUUGGACAAUGGGCGAAAGCCUGAUCCAGCCAUGCCGCGUGUGUGAAGAAGGUCUUCGGAUUGUAAAGCACUUUAAGUUGGGAGGAAGGGCAGUAAGUUAAUACCUUGCUGUUUUGACGUUACCAACAGAAUAAGCACCGGCUAACUUCGUGCCAGCAGCCGCGGUAAUACGAAGGGUGCAAGCGUUAAUCGGAAUUACUGGGCGUAAAGCGCGCGUAGGUGGUUCAGCAAGUUGGAUGUGAAAUCCCCGGGCUCAACCUGGGAACUGCAUCCAAAACUACUGAGCUAGAGUACGGUAGAGGGUGGUGGAAUUUCCUGUGUAGCGGUGAAAUGCGUAGAUAUAGGAAGGAACACCAGUGGCGAAGGCGACCACCUGGACUGAUACUGACACUGAGGUGCGAAAGCGUGGGGAGCAAACAGG